UAGGGAAUAUUGGACAAUGGGCGAAAGCCUGAUCCAGCCAUGCCGCGUGAAUGAUGAAGGCCUUCGGGUCGUAAAGUUCUUUUCUGAGGGAAGAAAAAUCUGGGGAGGAAAUGCUCCGGGUCUGACGGUACCUCAGGAAUAAGCAACGGCUAACUCCGUGCCAGCAGCCGCGGUAAUACGGAGGUUGCAAGCGUUGUUCGGAAUAACUGGGCGUAAAGGGAGCGCAGGCGGUCUCGUAAGUCUAAAGUGAAAUGCCAGGGCUCAACCUUGGACGUGCUUUGGAUACUGCAAGACUUGAGUACGUGAGAGGAGAGUGGAAUUCCAGGUGUAGCGGUGAAAUGCGUAGAUAUCUGGAGGAACACCGGUGGCGAAAGCGGCUCUCUGGCACGUUACUGACGCUGAGGCUCGAAAGCGUGGGGAGCGAACGGG
rnacentral:rRNA from 1 species